GCACAGAUGCCCGAGUGGUUAAGGGGGUGGACUUAAGAUCCACUGGUCAUACGACCGCGUGGGUUCGAACCCCACUCUGUGCA